rnacentral:lncRNA from 1 species
UAUAUAAUUCCAGACUUAAGGUGAUACAGCCUUUCAUCAAGAAAGACUAGUCUUCACCAUCCUCCACAGGUUUUUAAAAAAAUAAUAACCCAUAUUACACACACACACGUACAUACAAAUACACACAUAUGUAUGCACACCACACACACGUACUCUACACACACACAUUCACACAUACAUACACACACAUGUACAUACACAUACACACAUAUGUAUGCACACCACACACAAUACUCUACACACACAUUCACACAUACAUACACACACGUACGCACACCACACAUACAUAUAUAUAGAUACACACAUACAUACACAUAAACACAUACA